CCAGCUCUGGAGCUCAGGAAACUUGUCCAACAUGGUCGGGACUCUUUUCUUCCUUUUCAUGCUCGCUUACUGCCCAGGUUCCCUCUCCCAACCUGUGCUGACUCAGACACCCUCUGCAUCUGCCUCCCUGGGACGAACAGUCAAACUCACCUGCACCCUCAGCAGUGGCUACAGUAAUUAUGUAGUGGGAUGGUACCAGCAAAGCCCAGGGAAGAGUCCCCGGUUUGUGAUGCUAGUGGGCAGUAGUGGCAUGGUGGGUUCCAAGGGGGAAGGGAUUCCUGAUCGCUUCUCAGGCUCAGGCUCUGGCCUGGAUCGGUACCUGACCAUCCAGAACAUCCAGGAACAGGAUGAGAGUGUCUACUACUGUGGGGCAGGCCAUGGCAGUGAGUAA